CAUCCGCCCCCGCGGCCCCACCCGAGCGCGCCGGGAGAGGGGGCGUGCCCGGCGGGGGCGCGGUCGCCGGGCGGGCGCCGGCUCCGAGCGCCCGCACCCGCCUCACGCGGCGCGCUGGGCCGAUCGCAGGACCCAGCCGCGGGAUGCUGCCGCUACUCCUCUCUACUUGCUUUGCACUUGGGCUCUCCCCACCUCGAGGCUUCCUCGCACAGUGGUUCCCAUGUGGCUCAGUUUCUGCACCCUCUGCUGACCCUCUGAGUCUCCAGGGACAGACCCCUAGGAGGAAAUCUGGUCGACGAAUGGACAGCCCUGUGAACACAGCAAGAAGGUGGCCAUCUUCAAACCAGGAAGAGAAUUCUCACCAGAUGCUGAAUCUGCCGACACCUUGAUCUUGGGCUUCCAUCCUCCAGAACUGUGAGCAGUAAAUGUCUGUUGUUGAGCCAUCCAGCCUGUGGUAUUUUGUUAUAGCAGCCUGAGCUGACAGAGACACCCUGAUACAAGAAUCAUUAUCCCCUUGCACAGGGGGAAACCACCUCUGAGGCACAGCAGGCCACACUAAGGCCACACCCAGGGCUGGGGUUGGACCCCUGUUCAGAUUCCAAGCCCAGUUUGUCAGUUAGAAAUGCUUUGGGCUACAAGUAACAGAACCCAGUUAAUAGUCAUUUAAAUAAAUAGAGGUCUCCCUUAAUAAGAUGUCAGGAGGUGGGCCUUCUCAGGACUGAAGAAGUGGCUCAAGUGUGCCCACAGGGACUCAUCUCCUUCUCCCUGCCCCUCCACUAUCUUUAAAGUGUUGAUGUUCUGCGCUAGAGACACUGGCCACAGCUCCAGGUCCACAGUUAGGGUUAGAAACAGGGAUUCAGGGGAUGGUAGACACACAUGACCUCCACCCGCUGUGAGAAAGCAGCACCUUUCCCAGAAGACUUCAGCUUCACCUGGCCCAGCCACAGCAGUGACAGGAGACUGAGGAAGCGAGUCCCUGACUUCCCAGCCCUUGUGGGAGGCAGCAUGGGACAGGGGCUGGGCACAUCCCGUGUCGGCCACCCCCAGCAUCUCCUUACAGAUCCUGCUUUCUGAUUCAGGGUGUUUGCUAACCAGGGACAGUUCAAGGGACUCAUUCAAAUUCUCACUGCCCUGCCCUGUAAGUUUUAGGUGGAUACUUAGCAAAUGAGCAUGCUCUGAUGUGUAAGUAUUAUUUUCCUAGGGGGGCGGAACAGGAGAUGAAGUGUUCCUAAUUCCAUACCUCUGACCUGCCUCUGAGAUAUUCCAGGGUUUUCUGAUGAGGGUUGCUGGCUGGUUUGUUGGAGGGCUAGCAUGGGCAUGGGAUUUUCAGGGUCAUGGUGAGCAUGGUCGAAGUGGCUGUGACCCCACGGAGCCUCCUCCCAGGUGGGAUGGGGGGGUCCCCUGGAUCUAAAGGGAAUGCGUCCUCCAGUCUUUCUUCCUCCAGCUAUGCAGUGUGCCUCUGUCUUCUUCCACUAAGAUGAAUGGUGCUGCACAGGGUCACCCUAAUGCAGACCACAGCUUUGAGGGAAGCCCUUUCCACACAGCUGUUUCCUGGUUCGAGGCACUGCCCACCCGCCCCAUGGGGACACCCAGUGGUAACCUGCCUUUCAUCUGCUCUCACCAUCCUGAGGGGAUCCCCUGCCCUGUGGUUUCCCUACACUGCUCACUGUUCUCAAGGCCUCAAGAGCCACUCCCCGGGGUAUGUGGGUGCAUUUGCAACUGUGGCCAGCAGGACCCUUGCUCCUUCAGGUUAGCUGGCGACACACACAGAGUUCAACGUUUCUCCCGAAAGCCAGAGUAGCCACAACAUUCUUAUUUGGAAUAUUAUCAUAAAGUUAAUUUAGUUCCAUGAAUGUUGGCUGGGUAUAGGCAUUGAGGUAUGGCUUCUGGGCUAAGUACUAAGGGUGCCAAAAUGCAGAAGAAGCUCACAGCCAGGACACGGGACCCUCUGCAGAGAGAAGGGAACAGAGCUGGCCAGAGCCAGGAGGGACUUCCGGGAAGGUGAGGUGUGUGUAGGGGCUGGGUCGGGUAAUGGAAGUCUGUGAGACAGGAAGUUAUUCAGGUGUGAUGGCAGAAGUAACCCAGGACCAGAGAAGUGUGUUCAGGGGCCAGGAAGUUCCGCCUGGCUGGAGGACAGUGCUCUAGGAGGCAGGUGACACCUGCUGGUACAGGGGCCCCAAGAAGCUUGGCAAGGGCAGAGGGUCAUGUGCUGGGGGUGUCCCUGACAUAGGUAGGAGCCUGAGUUGGGGAUCCCAGGAGAGUUGACAUCCUGGCCCAGGUGGCUGGAUGCCAUAGGAAGGCAGAGAGAAGGUUGAGAAGUUCAGAAAGGGAAAGGGAAGGAGGGGCCGGGGAGCCUCAGGGAUGGCUGAGAGGAACAUACCCUGAAGGGCUGGGUCCUUCAAACCUUGGCUCUGCUGUGCCACGCUGGGCUGACUAGAGAACCUCUCUGAGCCUGCUUCCCCAUCGGAAAACUGUGGAAAACACCCUUGUGAGAGAAGCAUCAAAUAACGUAAUGCUGGGAGGCAUGGGUAUGGUGCCCAGUAUGUGGCAGGUGCGUGUACCACAGCAGUUUUCUUCUCUCCUUCAAGUCUAGUGUCACCAUUAGUCACCAAGUGACCUGGAGACCCCGUUUCAUCAGGCAAGGUCAGGUCCCCUCCCCUGGCCCUGUUCUAGGUGAGGUCCUGGGCCUCUGGGUCUUACCAUGGCCAUGUCCCUAGCAAAGGCAGUAUUCUCACCAUGGACCCUUGAGGUCCCUGGGUGGUGGCACAGGGAGCAGAUGCUGGCAGCUGCUGCUGGCCCUACAAUGUGGCUUUUGUCAGCUGGGUUGGCUGUCCAGCCCAGAAUGACCUGUGCUGGGGAACAAUUCCCUAGGCUUUCCAGAGCGUUGCCGUGAGCUCUCAACAAAGCAUGGGAGAGCAGUUGCUGCAAGGCUUUGGGCAAUGCUUUUGUUAUGCAAAUAUAGGGGGCGGUUCCCAGCUCACUCUCCCCUCAGCACACUAGCUAUUUUGUGAUGCAGAUCCAGUAAGGCCUCUGCCCUAGGCCUUGGAGCUUGCUCUGCUCACCCCCAAGAUCCUCCCCAGCCAGGCUUAGUGAGCACCUCUGGGCACCAUGCUGGCCUCAGGACCUGGCUCUCGAGGACUCCUCUGUUCAGCAGGAGGUGACAGGCCCAGAGAAAAGAAGCAGAGGCAGGAGGACAUCACCUCAAAUUGUGCAACCAGCAGGGAAGAACUAGACCAGGCAGCUAGGAGAGGCCCCUCUGAGCAGGCUUAGGCUGAGCUGGCUGGGAACAGCGUAUGGGGUAGACAGCCUAGUAGGCAGAGGGACUGCGAGUGCCGAGGCCCCAGGGUGGGACAGCCAGUUCCAGGGCAAGACUGGCUGGUGGGAGGAGGGCCCAUCCAUGGUCUCCUGGGCCUGCAUGGCCAAAGGGAAGGGCCUGAGCCCCAGACCAACACACUCAGGUGCCCUUCCAAUCCACGGCACACCAGCCUGGAUGGUGAUUUGGCAAAUUUCCAAAUUUCUCUGAGCCUUGGUUUCUUCAUCUGUAAAACAUGGAUAGGAAUAGCCUCUAUCAUAGGGUUGUGGUGAGAUGAAAUGAGAUAAUCCAGAUAAAAUAUUGAGUUCAGCGCCUGGCACAUAACAGGCAUGCAAUGUCUGAUGAUAAUGGACAGCAAUUUGGCAAUAUUUACCAAACUUGGAAGUAUCCACUCAUUUCCCAAUAAUGCUAACUCUAGGAAUUUUUCCUACAAAUAUUCUUGCAUGUACAAAAUGACAUAUGUUCAAGGUUGUUCUUCACAGAUUUCUUUGUAGCAGCUGGAGAUUGGAAAUGGCCCAACUGUCCAUCUAUAGGGGUUGGUUAAAUGGAUUAUGGUUGUCCACUCAUUUAGUACUCUUCAGCCAAAACAAGAAGGAAGUUGUCUUGUGUACCCAUAUAGAGGAACUGACUGCACAGGAGCUGGAGGGGUAAACCAGCCCCCUGCACAGCGAAGUCAGUGCCCUAUGAAAAGAAUGGGGCCGAGCAUCACAGGGGCCUAGGAUACACUGGACCCAGGGAAGAGGGAGGGUGUGCCAGGAAGAGUGGUGUGCAGGGCCAGGGUUGCAGCUGUUACAUAUACACACCUGGAGGUAGAGAUUGUCUCCUGCAGAGACAGACUGUCUUGGGACGAGGUGGCACACACAGCUCUGCAGUGAUGGAAUAAUACAAUCAGUCACCAUGGCAACAACUGGCAGUUGUAAUUUUCAGAAAGUGGGCAGUGCCCAGAACACAGGAAGAGGCUGCAGGCUCCCGGCAGGGUUGCCUCCAGGCAGCACCUCUGUAACCCUGGGUGUGCGUGUGGCACAGCAGUGUCCUGGGCCUCAGUCUCCCCAUCUGUAAAAUGAGGAUCUGACUGGGGACACCUCUCCACCAUGGCACCGGAAGGAGAGACUGAGAGAAAAGACGAGAGCAUACUUUAGAACAGGCAUGGGACUCUGCAGACACAAAGGCUGUUAGCCUCCCAAGGCAGGCCCAGAGGGAUGGCUUCGUCCCACUUCUAUUCCCUAUUGCCCUCAUUAGAGACAGCUACGCGCAGCUCUGAACUUCUGUCACCAAAGCUUCUUCUGGAUAAAUAAAUAUUGACUAGAGAAGAGGAAGAAGGCAGAUUGCAUUUCCUUUUGGGAGGUGGCUACCCAGCCAUGCUGCCCACAGGGGCCAUCUGUAUGAACCCAGGUGUGAGUCCCUGCCUGGUGCUAUCCACCCGCUUUCCAAGAAGCUUGCCCCACCCCCCGGCAACACCACCCCCAGCCCUUUCAGCUUUGAAAAGUAAUUCUACCAUUCCCAUCUCCCUAGGAAACACCACCCAGACCACUGGCCUUGCCCCGUGGCAUGAAGCCAAACUCCCGUGGAACAUGGAUAGCUAUGGGGGUUGGGCUAUGAUGGUGGUGCUCAGCACCUCCCAGGCCUGACCCUGCUGCGAAAGGGAGCAAAUGAUCUCUGACCUCUGGAUGUGGCAACCCCAGCCCAGCACGCAGCCCCUCCUCUGUCCACAUGGGCCUGGGACGCACAAGGCCUCAUGUCCCCUCUUGAGACUGACCUUGUAGAUCAACACAGAGAAUAAGAGUAGGGAAGGCUAUAGGGGGCCUCAUGGAGGCGAGGAGCCUGGAAGGGCCACGGACUGCGCUUCUCUCCAGGUUUUUUAGGUGGUGCCCACCCCCUCCGCCAGGGCCCGGUUGGGGCGCUGGCCAGGCUGGCUCCAGGCAGCAGCCUCCCUGUUCCCCCUUCCCCACUGCUGUCUCACCGACACCCCACAGCCCGCUCAUCAGCCUUGUCAGGGCCUCUGCACUUGUCCCCCAUCUCUUCAGGGCCCCACCCUCCCCACCUCGCUGGAAUUAGGAGGGGUUGACCUUGGGGGUUGUCUUAGUUCUCAAUAGCUUAGUUCUCAAACCACAGUCUGGGGCGGACAGGGAGGGUGAGCCACACUCAGCGGGCAAGAGUGACCACUCUCAAGCACCUUUUAAGAACAAACAGUAGUAGGGGCUGGCCCUGUGGCUGAGUGGUCAAGUUCGCGCACUCCGCUGCAGGUGGCCCAGUAUUUCGUUGGUUUGAAUCCUGGGUGUGGA